GUUGAACGCUGGCGGCGUGCCUAACACAUGCAAGUCGAGCGGUAACACGAGGAGGCUGCCUUCUUUGCGUACGCGGCGCGGGGGUGUGAGACAUGUGGGUGAAACACCUUUAAGGCUGGGGUAACUUCCGGAAAACGGUGCCUAAUACGGCAUAUCUACUGAACCGCAAGGAUGGGUAGUUUCAGGCGGCUUUCCAGUCGAUGAUAGCUGGUUCCGUGUCGUAUUAGCUAGUUGGUAGGGUAACGGCUUACCCAGGCCACGAUGCGUAGCAGAGCUGAGAGGAUGACCAGCCACACUGGAACUGAGACACGGUCCAGACUCCUACGGGAGGCAGCAGUAGGGAAUAUUGCACAAUGGGCGAAAGCUUGAUGCAGCAACGCCGCGUGUAUGAUGAAGGCCUUCGGAUUGUAAAGUUCUUUUAGCAGGGAGGAACGAAGUAGAGUUAAUACCUGCACGUAUUGACGUUACCUGAAGAGAAAGCCCCGGCUAACUACGUG
rnacentral:rRNA from 1 species